rnacentral:rRNA from 1 species
UACGUAGGUGGCAAGCGUUGUCCGGAAUUAUUGGGCGUAAAGCGCGCACAGGCGGCUUCGCGCGCCCGACGUGAAAGCCCCCGGCUUAACCGGGGAGAGUCGUUGGGGACGGCGGAGCUUGAGGGCGGGAGAGGUCGGUGGAAUUCCCGGUGUAGUGGUGAAAUGCGUAGAGAUCGGGAGGAACAUCAGUGGCGAAGGCGGCCAUCUGGGACAACACUGACGCUGAAGCACGAAAGCGUGGGGAGCAAACAGG